rnacentral:rRNA from 1 species
ACUCCUACGGGAGGCAGCAGUGAGGAAUAUUGGACAAUGGGCGGGAGCCUGAUCCAGCCAUGCCGCGUGCAGGAAGACGGUCCUAUGGAUUGUAAACUGCUUUUGUACGGGAAGAACAAGGGGCACGCGUGCCCCNCCCUGACGUACCGUAAGAAUAAGGAUCGGCUAACUCCGUGCCAGCAGCCGCGGUAAUACGGAGGAUCCGAGCGUUAUCCGGAAUCAUUGGGUUUAAA